GACGAACGCUGGCGGCGUGCCUAAUACAUGCAAGUCGAACGCAGUGGGGACGGGUGAGUAACACGUGGGUAACCUCCCAUCAGAGGGGAUAACACUUGGAAACAGGUGCUAAACCGAUACUGAUGGAUGGCCCCGCGGUGCCUUAGCUAGUUGGUGAGGUAACGGCUCACCAAGGCCACGAUGCAUAGCCGACCGAUGGGGUUGAUCGGCCACACGCGGACUGGGACACGGCCCAGACUCCUCCGGGAGGCAGGAGUGGGGAAUCUUCGGAAAUGGACGAAGGUCUGACCGAGCAACGCCGCGUGAGUGAAGAAGGUGUUCGGAUCGUAAAACUCUGGUGUUAGGGAAGCGGUAUCUAACCAGAAAGCCACGGCUAACUACGUGCCAGCAGCCGCGGUAAUAC
rnacentral:rRNA from 1 species